rnacentral:rRNA from 1 species
CUUACUGAUUGUAUGAUGAUGUGA